UACGGAGGGGACUAGCGUUGUUCGGAAUUACUGGGCGUAAAGCGCACGUAGGCGGAUUUGUAAGUCGGAUGUGAAAUCCCGAGGCUCAACCUCGGGUCUGCAUCCGAUACUGCCCGGCUAGAGGUAGGUAGGGGAGAUCGGAAUUCCUGGUGUAGCGGUGAAAUGCGCAGAUAUCAGGAGGAACACCGGUGGCGAAGGCGGAUCUCUGGGCCUUACCUGACGCUCAGGCGCGAAAGCUAGGGGAGCGAACUGG
rnacentral:rRNA from 1 species